rnacentral:lncRNA from 1 species
AAAUACUUGUUUGGUUUAGGUAUUCCUAUGUAGACGACCUGAUUAUGAUUCAGGGUGAUUUAUCGUAGCAGUAAUCUGAAGUUUGGUGUGGUGUUUGAUCUGUGUGAGUCUUGUGUUAGGUGAGUCAUGAACAAAUUUAUGUGGUCUUUAUUAGUAGGUCAAGGUGAAGUUCUUCUCUUUAUGUAUCGUCAUGAACAAAGUUAUGUGGUCUUUAUUAGUAGGUCAAGGUGAAGUUCUUCUCUUUAUGUAUCUAUAUCAGCUUAGCUGUGAUAUGCGUGUGAGUCGUAAAUUUCGAUAUAUGAAAGUCUGUUCUUG